GGACGAAGUCUGAUGGAGCACGCCGCGUGAGUGAAGAAGGUUUUCGGAUCGUAAAACUCUGUUGUUGGAGAAGAAUGUAUCUGAUAGUAACUGAUCAGGUAGUGACGGUAUCCAACCAGAAAGCCACGGCUAACUACGUGCCAGCAGCCGCGGUAAUACGUAGGUGGCAAGCGUUGUCCGGAUUUAUUGGGCGUAAAGCGAGCGCAGGCGGUUUCUUAAGUCUGAUGUGAAAGCCUUCGGCUCAACCGAAGAAGUGCAUCGGAAACUGGGAAACUUGAGUGCAGAAGAGGACAGUGGAACUCCAUGUGUAGCGGUGAAAUGCGUAGAUAUAUGGAAGAACACCAGUGGCGAAGGCGGCUGUCUGGUCUGUAACUGACGCUGAGGCUCGAAAGCAUGGGUAGCAAACAGGAUUAGAUACCCUGGUAGUCCAUGCCGUAAACGAUGAGUGCUAGGUGUUGGAGGGUUUCCGCCCUUCAGUGCCGCAGCUAACGCAUUAAGCACUCCGCCUGGGGAGUACGACCGCAAGGUUGAAACU
rnacentral:rRNA from 2 species